GAUAGCCCCGCCGCUUUCUCUAGGCAGUGAGAGUUACCAGCAGCAGCCUUGCCCCAGAGGCUAUUACUGCCCUCCCCUGGUGCCUGCCCCUCUGCCCUGUCCCCCUGGGACCCAUGGGAGCAGCAACUUUGCGAAGCGUGUAGAGGAGUGCCAGGCCUGUCCUGCUGGUUCCUUCAAUCACCUUCCGGCUCAGCCUGCAUGUUUCCCCUGUGGCAGCUCUUCCUCCUCUCUGCCUGGUGCUGCCAGCUGUACCUGCCGUGGGCUGAAUCGGGCUUUCCAGCAGUCAGACGCCUCUUGUAUCUGCCAAGCAGGUUAUGUUUACUAUGAUGAGAGAGGCAAGAAAAACCCUGACAGCAACAGUGAUCAGGACUGCCGACUUCAGGUGGAUGACCUCUGUGCUCCUGGAGAGGUCCGCCUAGCAUCCACGCGUCAGUGUGUUUUUCCCGAGCUAUAUGACUGCUCUGCUUCUUGUGGACCUGCAGGUGGAGAGAUUAAUGCAGAGCUGGGCAUAUGUCACUGCAAGCAGUACGUCUCUGCUGAGGAGCUUUGUGACCAAGCAUGUUUGCUGAGAGCCCCGCAGAUCUCCUUGAGAUUUGGCAUCAAUAGAGAGCUGCUUCUGAGGGUGGAUGAAAGAGAGGAGAGGGUAAGUAAUGGAGUUGGGGACUGCUGUCUGAGUAUGAGUCUGG
rnacentral:lncRNA from 1 species